AUGCAACACCCCCACUUCACGAUUAUACUCCCUGUCCGCCUCCUCCUUUAUCUUCGAUAUCGCCAACUCCCUCCAUGCUUCCAUCUCCAACAACCUUCGCUCAUCAACGCGAAUUGUCGCGGCAUCAAUCGUUCUCCGCCAGAUUCACCAAUACCAUCAUCGUUCAACAGCGUCUGUUCAUCUCAACCACAUCCUUUUCGUUCAUCAGCUUUAACGCCCAAGCUUCUCCAGCCUCCGUCAAAUCCGCUGCUCCGCAAGAUUCAUCACCGUUCAACUUUAGCUCGACGUCGCAACUCCGCCUUCAAUUGGUUGGAUGAGAUGUUACUCUGA